GACGAACGCUGGCGGCGUGCUUAACACAUGCAAGUCGAACGGAAAGGCCCUGCUUUUGUGGGGUGCGCGUGGGGCGAAGGGGUGUGAAACACGUGUGUAACCCGCCCUUGUCUUUGGGAUAACUUCAGGAAACUGGGGAUAAUACCGGAGAGGAGCUCCUGCUGCAGGGUGGGGGUUGGAAAGUUUCGGCGGUGGGGGAAGGUCUCGCGGGUUAUCCGCUUGGUGGUGGGGUUGUGGCUUACCAAGGUUUUGACGGGUAGGCGGGCUGAGAGGGUGAGCGGCCACAGUGGGACUGAGGUACGGCGCAGACUCCUACGGGAGGCAGCAGUGGGGAAUAUUGAACAAUGGGCGGAAGCCUGAUGCAGCAACGCCUCGUGCGGGAUGACGGCCUUCUGGUUGUAAACCGCUUUCGCCUGUGACGAAGCGUGAGUGACGGUAAUGGGUAAAGAAGCACCGGCUAACUACGUG
rnacentral:rRNA from 1 species